AAGGGAACAGGGGCACUCAGUGGAGCACAGGGAAUCACAGCCCAAACAGAAAACUGAACACACAUAACAAAAGAGGGAGUGCAUCCAAAACCUUACAGACCCUGAUCAGCAGAACACUAGCAUGCAGCACCAUCUACAGGCGCUUCCCUACAACAGUCCACCACACAUCACAUUUCUCCACGCACAUCCAACGUCAACUUCUGUAUUUUAAUAGUAUCUAUGUAGUUAACUUGUAUACUCCCUAUCCCCACAUUAUUUCUGUGUCUUUAUUGGUGCAAAACAAAAACACACAUAUAAAGCAAACAGAGUUUGGCCCAAACAGCAGCAGCUUCCCUAGCAGGUCUGCAGCUGAUCCUGCCCCUGGAGGUGCCACUGCUAGAUGCUGCCACUGUUUGAGCCAGGACUUGCUGAAGGAUCGGUGAUGACAGGCUGAUGAAGCAGGACAGCAGGUCUGGCUACUGGCUGAUAUCCAUCUAUGUUGGAGCGUGGAGGUUCAUACCCGUCUUCAAUUACAUCCCAUAAAUGUCAGGUUGCCUCUUCAGUCCCUGCCUCGGUUAGCAGUAGGCCUCAUGGGGGCGUCUGCUCAGACGUGACAAGAAUCAGGCUGAAGCCAUUUCCAUACACAAGUGUGAGCAUUCAUCAUGUGUGUGUCUUAUCAAGAAGUGAGACGAUAAGCUGGCAGCAGACGGUCCUCCAAGGCAGAGUGUGAUAGAGCAAUUAAGAUGAUUGUCAAUUAGGCCAUGCUGCUAAUUGACUGGUGAUUAAAGCCAGAGCUGAUUAAUAAAGUGAAAGCAGCUCUCGUCUCGAUAUCGAGGAGGUGCGGUAGAGGGCCUGUAUGUGCCUAGACAUAAACAGAGAACAGCUGGGCCCUGUUGUCAAGCUGCAUGCUGGAUAGCUUAGCACUUAACAGUGUUUAAGUACAGCUGUGAUGCUGUCUUUGCAACUAA